AGAAAACAAACGUAUAAAACAAACCCAGGCUGCAGCUAAUUAAGAGGAGGUUGCAGAAGAGCCGUUGGCAAGGCACCGCUUGCAGCAGACAGAAAACAUAUGGAGUAUUUGGACAUCUCCUAGGAGCGUGCAAGAGGGUUCAGGCUGUGGGGUUAAAGCUGGUUUACCAGCUAGACACCUAGUUACACAUGGAGAAAGUGGACCAGGAAGAGAGGACAGCCAGACCUCUACCAGGCCACCCAUCACUGGGACAGUGGCUCCAGGUCUGGCUGCCAUGAAGAGAAGACGGAAGAAAGGAAAAGAAGCAGACUGCUCUCGUGGGAAAGAUGACAUGGACAGAGUGCAUGGAGCCCCAUCAAUGAGUAAACUACUGGGAAAAAAAGUCGCUGCUUUCUGCUUCCUGGUGCCCUGACCCUGAUCCUGCCCCUCCUACGAGUCUAUUCAUCACACUGGAAUGUGAUUACCUGUCUCCCCAGCCAGACUCCAAGGCCUUUGAGGGAAGGG